rnacentral:tRNA from 1 species
GGACCUUUAGCUCCGUUGGUCAGAUCUCUCGGAUCAUAACCGAUCGCUCGUUGGCUCGAGCCCAACAAGGUCCA